CACGUAGGGUGCAAGCGUUGUCCGGAUUCAUUGGGCGUAAAGGGCUCGUAGGCGGCUUAGCAAGUCGGGUGUGAAAACUUCAGGCUCAACCUGGAGCGGCCAUCCGAUACUGCUAUGGCUAGAGUCCGGUAGGGGACCACGGAAUUCCUGGUGUAGCGGUGAAAUGCGCAGAUAUCAGGAGGAACACCAGUGGCGAAGGCGACUACCUGGCCUGUUCUUGACGCUGAGGCGCGAAAGCUAGGGGAGCAAACGGG
rnacentral:rRNA from 1 species